UACGUAGGGUCCGAGCGUUGUCCGGAAUUAUUGGCGUAAGAGCUCGUAGGCGGUUUGUCGCGUCUGCUGUGAAAUCCCGAGGCUCAACCUCGGGUCUGCAGUGGGUACGGGCAGACUGGAGUGCGGUAGGGGAGAAUGGAAUUCCUGGUGUAGCGGUGGAAUGCGCAGAUAUCAGGAGGAACACCGAUGGCGAAGGCAGAUCUCUGGCGUAACUGACGCUGAGGAGCGAAAGCAUGGGGAGCGAACAGG
rnacentral:rRNA from 1 species